rnacentral:rRNA from 1 species
AGUGUUAUAGCCUUUGGUAGAUGUGACGAUUGGGAUCGAGGAUUGCAACGAAUACCCCUUUGGGCUAUCCGUCUGACCUCUGAAAGUCGCUCGGGUGUUGAAAGCGUGCUUACGACAUUCUAGUUGGCGGUCAAAAGGUUAGAACGCGAUUACAUUCGUUAAGGAUGUUGACGUAAUGGCUUUAAACGA